rnacentral:rRNA from 1 species
UGCCACGCUGAUGCGAUUUCGGUCAAUCAUGUGGCAUUCGAGUGGCGGACGGGUGAGUAACGCGUGGGUAACCUGCCUUACACAGGGGGAUAACACCUGGAAACAGGUGCUAAUACCGCAUAAGCGCACAGGGCCGCAUGGCCCGGUGUGAAAAACUCCGGUGGUGUAAGAUGGACCCGCGUCUGAUUAGCUUGUUGGCGGGGUAGGGGCCCACCAAGGCGACGAUCAGUAGCCGGCCUGAGAGGGUGGACGGCCACAUUGGGACUGAGACACGGCCCAAACUCCUACGGGAGGCAGCAGUGGGGGAUAUUGGACAAUGGGGGAAACCCUGAUCCAGCGACGCCGCGUGAGUGAAGAAGUAUUUCGGUAUGUAAAGCUCUGUCAGCAGGGAAGAAAGAAAUGACGGUACCUGACCAAGAAGCCCCGGCUAACUACGUGCCAGCAGCCGCGGUAAUACGUAGGGGGCAAGCGUUAUCCGGAAUUACUGGGUGUAAAGGGAGCGUAGACGGUGAUGCAAGUCUGGAGUGAAAGGCGGGGGCCCAACCCCCGGACUGCUCUGGAAACUGUGUAACUUGAGUGCAGGAGAGGUAAGCGGAAUUCCUAGUGUAGCGGUGAAAUGCGUAGAUAUUAGGAGGAACACCAGUGGCGAAGGCGGCUUACUGGACUGUAACUGACGUUGAGGCUCGAAAGCGUGG